UCGGGAAUAUUGCGCAAUGGAGGGAACUCUGACGCAGUGACGCCGCGUAUAGGAAGAAGGUUUUAGGAUUGUAAACUAUUGUCGACAGGGAAGAAAAAGACAGUACCUGUAGAGGAAGCUCCGGCUAACUACGUGCCAGCAGCCGCGGUAAAACGUAGGAAGCGAGCGUUAUCCGGAUUUACUGGGCGUAAAGCGUGUGUAGGCGGUAAUGUAAGUCAGAUGUGAAAUACUUCGGCUCAACUGAAGAACUGCAUCUGAAACUGCAUAACUAGAGUACAGAAGAGGGAAACGGAAUUCCCGGUGUAGAGGUGAAAUGCGUAGAUAUUAGGAGGAACACCAGUUGCGAAGGCGGCCAUCUGGACUGAUACUGACGCUGAGGCACGAAGGCCGGGGGAGCAAACA
rnacentral:rRNA from 1 species